ensembl:lncRNA
CGCUAGCUAACCAACCACUUGAGCAACUUUAAAUUGUUUCAAAAGUCUUCAAAGUUGGUGAGAGUCUUCAAAACCAAUGACUUUAAAGGAGAAUCAGCUGACUGUCCCGUUACUGACCUCCAUCGUGGUGGCAGUGCUCGGCUCAUUCCAAAUAGGAUAGGACACAGGCAACAACAAUGCCCCUGUCUGCGUGAGUAGAGUUGACUUUGGGGGCCAGCCGCUGGUUAGCAUGAUUUCUCAGUUUACGUACAAACUUUUCAGUGCCCUCAUAAAACACUGAAUAAACUUUACCAAGUCAGAGAAUAUUUCUCUUCAGCCAGCGCUGGAUUUGGAAGGCUUCAUAUUUGCACACAGUAUUAAGGAUUUUGGAGCACUUCUUGGUUCGCUUGGGGUGAAAGGUCUUGCUGACACCUUCAGGAGG